UACAGAGGGGGCAAGCGUUGUUCGGAAUUACUGGGCGUAAAGGGCGCGUAGGCGGCCUGCUAAGUCGAACGUGAAAUCCCCGGGCUCAACCCGGGAACUGCGUCCGAUACUGGCAGGCUUGAAUCCGGGAGAGGGAUGCGGAAUUCCAGGUGUAGCGGUGAAAUGCGUAGAUAUCUGGAGGAGCACCGGUGGCGAAGGCGGCAUCCUGGACCGGCAUUGACGCUGAGGCGCGAAAGCCAGGGGAGCAAACGGG
rnacentral:rRNA from 1 species